rnacentral:rRNA from 1 species
AUUGAACGCUGGCGGCAUGCUUUACACAUGCAAGUCGAACGGCAGCGCGGGCUUCGGCCUGGCGGCGAGUUGCGAACGGGUGAGUAAUACAUCGGAACGUGCCCAGUCUAUGGGGAUAGCUCGGCGAAAGCCGGAUUAAUACCGCAUACGACCUGAUGGUGAAAGCGGUGGAUCUUCGGACCUCGCGCUAUUGGAGCGGCCGAUGGCAGAUUAGCUAGUUGGUGGGGUAAAGGCCUACCAAGGCGACGAUCUGUAGCUGGUCUGAGAGGACGACCAGCCACACUGGAACUGAGACACGGCCCAGACUCCUACGGGAGGCAGCAGUGGGGAAUUUUGGACAAUGGGCGAAAGCCUGAUCGAGCAAUGCCGCGUGUGUGAUUAAGGCCUUCGGAUUGUAAAGCACUUUUGGCAGGAACGAAAAGGACUGUGCCAAUACCACGGUUUGAUGACGGUACCCGCAGAAUAAGCACCGGCUAACUACGUG